UUCCGGUUGAUCCCGCCGGACCCGACUGCUAUUUGGGUGAGAAUAAGCCAUGCGAGUUGAAUGGGAUGCCUAAAGUUCCCAUAGCAAACUGCUCAGUAACACAUGAUCAACUUACCCUAUAGAGAAAAAUAACCUCGGGAAACUGAGGAUAAUGUUUCAUAAUUGAAUUGGCUUGGAAAAGUUUUUCAAUGAAAGGGAUAAAAAAAAUGGUUUUUAUCUGCUAUAGGAUAGGAUCGUGUUCGAUUAUGGUUGUUGGUGAGAUAAUGGCUCACCAAGCCGAUAAUCGAUAGGGGCCGUGAGAGCGGGAGCCCCGAGAUGGGUACUGAGACAACGACCCAGGCCUUACGAGGCGCAGCAGGCGCGGAACCUCCGCAAUACACGAAAGUGUGACGGGGUUACCCAAAGUGUUCAAUAGAACUGUGGUAGGUGAGUAAUGUCCCCUACUAGAAAGGAGAGGGCAAGGCUGGUGCCAGCCGCCGCGGUAAAACCAGCUCUUCAAGUGGUCGGGAUAAUUAUUGGGCUUAAAGUGUCCGUAGCCGGUUUAGCAAGUUCCUGGUAAAAUCGGGUAGCUUAACUAUCUGCAUGCUAGGAAUACUGCUAUACUAGAGGGCGGGAGAGGUCUGAGGUACUACAGGGGUAGGGGUGAAAUCUUAUAAUCCUUGUAGGACCACCAGUGGCGAAGGCGUCAGACUGGAACGCGCCUGACGGUGAGGGACGAAAGUCAGGGGAGCGAACCGGAUUAGAUACCCGGGUAGUCCUGGCCGUAAACGAUGCAUACUAGGUGAUGGUACGGCCAUGAGCCGUAUCAGUGCCGUAGGGAAACCGUUAAGUGUGCCGCCUGGGAAGUACGGUCGCAAGGCUAAAACUUAAAGGAAUUGGCGGGGGAGCACCACAAGGGGUGAAGCCUGCGGGUUCAAUUGGAUUCAACGCCGGGAAUCACUAGUGCGGCC
rnacentral:rRNA from 1 species